UGAGCAAUCUGCCCUUCUCUUCGGAAUAAGCGUUGGAAACGACGUCUAAUGCCGAAUACGACCUCCUUUCGCAUGAUCGGAGGUGGAAAGCUCCGGCGGAGAAGGAUGAGCUCGCGGCCUAUCAGCUAGUUGGUGUAGGUAAUGGCCCACCAAGGCGACGACGGGUAGCCGGCCUGAGAGGGUGACCGGCCACACUGGGACUGAGACACGGCCCAGACCUCCGUACGGGAGGNAG
rnacentral:rRNA from 1 species